rnacentral:lncRNA from 1 species
GUUGAAAGACAUACACCAACCAACAAUAUCACAGAACCCCCCAAAUGGUUCUAUCACAGAGAAACACUUGGAACCGGAAGAAAUCCGGCAAGUGUGAGAGAGGAAGAGUGAUGUAGCAGAGAUCCACAUGUGGAAACGACGGUGGUACCGUGGUUUCCGGUCACUGCAGCGGCGGUCAACAGUGGUGGUUAGGGUUUCGAUUGCGGUUUCAGGAGGGAUCAGCAGAACGCGACAAUGAUGAAGAUGGCCGGCGAAAUACCUAGGGUUUCGGCUAAGUUCCGGCAGAAGGAUUAAAGCUUGCAUGUUCCAUUUUCAAGUAGAUCGGUGACCGGAUUCGUCUGCAUGUGUGUUUUUCCGAUUAGUAAGGUAUAACCCAUCUACCUCACCCCAUCAAUCCAUCACAACAUCUCUGCCUCUGUCCCCGGUUACGUCUGGCGACCAAAGUGCACGCUACCAAACUCCACAUAUGAAGAAGUGACGAACUCUCAGACCAUUGAUCAUAUGGACAGAGACAACAAUUAGCCACUUAAUUUGUUUGUUUGUUCGUUCGAUUGAGUGGUUAAUUAGUGUAUAAAAAGAUGCUAGCCGAUAACGGAUUUGAUUUUUAUAGGCCCUGGCUGUUCAUUGGUUGUAGAAAGGGCGUUUAUGAAGCACCCUCCGCUUAAACCAAGUGGUAGGUUUUGGUGGAGAAUGAUUAUAGCUGGAAUAAGGCUAUGACAUUGACUUUUGGGACAUCAAAGAUUGGGGUUUAUGAAAACCGAUAUGCCACAGCAACUGGCAUAUCGAAUUGAGGCACAGGUUCUAUAAGUUUUUUGAGGUAGUUUGUUGAGGGUUUAUAUGAUUUAAUUGCUAAAUUUGGAUACUAUAUGGUCUACUGCUGCAGUUUUGUUAUCAUAUACUUUGAAGUUUUCACUUUUAGUCUUUUUUAGCUUUUGAUCUAACCAGAAAUAUAUAUUGUAAAGAUAAAAAAAGUCCAAUUUAUUGCUGCAGUUUUAUGGUAGGUAGAUAAGAAGAUUAAUAGGCAAAAUUGGGAUAAAAAAAAUAAAUUCAAAUAUAAACAUUGUUCAAAAGUUUGAAUUUUAUGCACAUAUGUUAACAGAGCCUGACAAAUAUAUACUCAAAAUGUGUAUUCAUGUGUUUUCCCUAGGAUUAUUAAGUUUGUUAUUAUUUGUAAAAAUUACGUGUUAAUUCGGAUUGAUAAACAGAGUAUUAGUGGGGAAAGGAAUGAUGGAAUCAAGAGAACUGGCGGAGAUUAAAAGCGAAGCGUAUGGGUGGUAGAGGAGGUUAAAGGCAAAGCGUACAGGUGCUGGAGGAGAUUAAAGGUGAAGCAUACAGGUGGGCGAAGAGUUGAAGUCAACUUUUGGGUCUGAAUCAUGAGAAUUGGGGCAAUUUCACAGGAGUGCGCUUUGGCUAAUACACAUGGGUUUCCUUUUUUCUUUUUUUCUUUUUUAUACUAUUUGGCUCUAUCUUUCGUUGUUUUGGUGUACUGCUAUACUUAGCAGCUUGCUAAAGCUGGGUUACUGUUUCCUGUGGUAAUAAAUUGGUUCUUUUGCCUA